CAACAAGUGCUGAAGGAGCACCUUGAGUUUCCUGGGAAGAAUGCUGAGAUCACAGAAGGUUCUGUGCCAAGAAAACCAGCCCAACCAAGCUUUGAGGCUGAGAGCUUCUAAUGUCACCUCAGGAAGCUACCAUCUGCACAGUAGAGUUUCUGGAUCUCUUCCCAAAGAGGAGGCUGGGCCCAGAGGGAAGCCAGACUCCAGCAUCCAGCUCUGGAGACACUGAGACAACUGCUGCCCUCAAGUAGGUCCAGGCUGGUGCAGGAAACGGAGUAUAACUUUCUGUAUAACCAAA
rnacentral:lncRNA from 1 species